UGCCCCAUGGCUGAGUUGGUUACAGCGUCCGACUGUUACAUCAGUGUCAAUCGGAAGGUCGAGAGUUCGAGCCUCUCUGGGGCAG